rnacentral:tRNA from 1 species
CCCUGGGUGGUGCAAACGGUUAACACAUUUGACUGUUAACCAAAAAGUUGUAGGUUCAAGUCUAUCCAGAGGU